rnacentral:rRNA from 1 species
GAUGAACGCUAGCGAUAGGCUUAACACAUGCCAGUCGAGGGGCAGCACAAGGUAGCUUGCUAUCUGGGUGGCGACCGGCGCACGGGUGCGUAACGCGUAUGCAACUUGCCCUAUACAGGAGGAUAACCCGUCGAAAGACGGACUAAUACUGCGUAUGCUCACAACUUGGCAUCAAGUGGUGAGGAAAGAAAUUCGGUAUAGGAUAGGCAUGCGUCCCAUUAGCUUGUUGGUGAGGUAACGGCUCACCAAGGCAACGAUGGGUAGGGGAACUGAGAGGUUUAUCCCCCACACUGGUACUGAGACACGGACCAGACUCCUACGGGAGGCAGCAGUGAGGAAUAUUGGUCAAUGGGCGCGAGCCUGAACCAGCCAAGUCGCGUGAAGGAGGACUGUCUUAUGGAUUGUAAACUUCUUUUAUACGGGAAUAACAAGAGUCACGUGUGACUCCCUGCAUGUACUGUAUGAAUAAGCAUCGGCUAACUCCGUG